GACGAACGCUGGCGGCGUGCCUAAUACAUGCAAGUAGAACGCUGAAGGAGGAGCUUGCUUCUCUGGAUGAGUUGCGAACGGGUGAGUAACGCGUAGGUAACCUGCCUGGUAGCGGGGGAUAACUAUUGGAAACGAUAGCUAAUACCGCAUAAGAGUAGAUGUUGCAUGACAUUUGCUUAAAAGGUGCAAUUGCAUCACUACCAGAUGGACCUGCGUUGUAUUAGCUAGUUGGUGGGGUAACGGCUCACCAAGGCGACGAUACAUAGCCGACCUGAGAGGGUGAUCGGCCACCCUGGGACUGAGACACGGCCCAGACUCCUACGGGAGGCAGCAGUAGGGAAUCGUCGGCAAUGGACGGAAGUCUGACCGAGCAACGCCGCGUGAGUGAAGAAGGUUGUCGGAUCGUAAAGCUCUGUUGUAAGAGAAGAACGAGUGUGAGAGUGGAAAGUUCACACUGUGACGGUAUCUUACCAGAAAGGGACGGCUAACUACGUG
rnacentral:rRNA from 1 species